rfam:Clostridium leptum CAG:27 genomic scaffold, scf72
CGGCGACUCUCUGGAGAGUCCCGGUUUUCGGGAGCCGAAGGUGUAAGGCGGAGCUUCCGCUGAUCUCUCAGGCAAAAGGACAGAGGACACAAA